rnacentral:rRNA from 2 species
UUUUUGGAGAGUUUGAUCCUGGCUCAGGACGAACGCUGGCGGCGUGCCUAAUACAUGCAAGUCGAGCGAAUCUGAUAGGAGCUUGCUCCUUCUCAGAUUAGCGGCGGACGGGUGAGUAACACGUGGGUAACCUGCCUGUAAGACUGGGAUAACUCCGGGAAACCGGGGCUAAUACCGGAUAACUUUUUCCUUCGCAUGAAGGAGAAUUGAAAGGUGGCACUAGCUACCACUUACAGAUGGACCCGCGGCGCAUUAGCUAGUUGGUGAGGUAACGGCUCACCAAGGCGACGAUGCGUAGCCGACUUGAGAGGGUGAUCGGCCACACUGGGACUGAGACACGGCCCAGACUCCUACGGGAGGCAGCAGUAGGGAAUCUUCCGCAAUGGACGAAAGUCUGACGGAGCAACGCCGCGUGAGUGAUGAAGGUUUUCGGAUCGUAAAACUCUGUUGUUAGGGAAGAACAAGUAUCGUUCGAAUAGGGCGGUACCUUGACGGUACCUAAC